rnacentral:rRNA from 1 species
AUUACCGCGGCUGCUGGGCUGCUGCCUCCCGUAGGGCCUAUUACUGCGGCUGCUGGCUCCCGUAGGCUGCUGCCUCCCGUAGGCUGCUGCCUCCCGUAGGGCCUAUUACCGCGGCUGCUGCCUCCCGUAGG